rnacentral:rRNA from 1 species
UACGUAGGCAGCAAGCGUUGUUCGGAAUUACUGGGCGUAAAGAGUGUGUAGGCGGUGCUCUAAGUCUGUUGUGAAAUCUCCCGGCUUAACUGGGAGGGUGCGGCGGAAACUGGAGUGCUCGAGUAUGGGAGAGGUAAGCGGAAUUCCUGGUGUAGCGGUGAAAUGCGUAGAUAUCAGGAGGAACACCUGUGGUGUAGACAGCUUACUGGACCAUCACUGACGCUGAGACACGAAAGCGUGGGUAGCAAACAGG